rnacentral:rRNA from 1 species
ACCGUGGUAAUUCUAGAGCUAAUACAUGCUAAAAACCCCAACUCACGAAGGGGUGUAUUUAUUAGAUUAAAAACCAAUGCCCUUCGGGGCUCUUUGGUGAUUCAUAAUAACUUUUCGAAUCGCAUGGCCUUGCGCCGGCGAUGGUUCAUUCAAAUUUCUGCCCUAUCAACUUUCGAUGGCAGGGUCUUGGCCUGCCAUGGUGACAACGGGUAACGGAGGGUUAGGGCUCGACCCCGGAGAAGGAGCCUGAGAAACGGCUACUACAUCCAAGGAAGGCAGCAGGCGCGCAAAUUACCCAAUCCCGACUCGGGGAGGUAGUGACAAUAAAUACUGAUACAGGGCUCUUUUGGGUCUUGUAAUUGGAAUGAGUACAAUUUAAAUCCCUUAACGAGGAACAAUUGGAGGGCAAGUCUGGUGCCAGCAGCCGCGGUAAUUCCAGCUCCAAUAGCGUAUAUUAAAGUUGUUGCAGUUAAAAAGCUCGUAGUUGAACCUUGGGCCUGGCUGGCCGGUCCGCCUCACCGCGUGCACUGGUUCGGCCGGGCCUUUCCCUCUGGGGAACCGCAUGCCCUUCACUGGGUGUGUCGGGGAACCAGGACUUUUACUGUGAAAAAAUUAGAGUGUUCAAAGCAGGCCUAUGCUCGAAUACAUUAGCAUGGAAUAAUAGAAUAGGACGUGUGGUUCUAUUUUGUUGGUUUCUAGGACCGCCGUAAUGAUUAAUAGGGACAGUCGGGGGCGUCAGUAUUCCAUUGUCAGAGGUGAAAUUCUUGGAUUUAUGGAAGACUAACUACUGCGAAAGCAUUCGCCAAGGAUGUUUUCAUUAAUCAGGAACGAAAGUUAGGGGAUCGAAGACGAUCAGAUACCGUCGUAGUCUUAACCAUAAACUAUGCCGACUAGGGAUCGGGCG